rnacentral:lncRNA from 1 species
AGGUGGGUUGUGCUUUACCGAAGUGAUUAGGUCACUUCCAUGCCAAAGUAAAGUAUAAUUAUUUUGACGCAUACAUGUAUAGUGGUAGAUUGUGAGUAAUAAUAUGAAAGCUUAAAUCGUAUUGUAUCAAUCAUUGUUAUCUACCAUUAGAAUAUGCAUGUCAAUAUCUUGUGGAUAAUACCCGAUGAUGCAUGAAUAUGAACAUAAUGUGAGCCUGUUAGAAUCAUACAAGCAGAAUAUGGGUCGAUAACUCUAAAUUGAUUAGAGAAUCCGACAGUUACAAAUGAGAUUGUGUAAGCAAUAAUCCUAGAUAUGGACAAUUAGGAUAAUACAUAGAUGUUAGAGCAUAUAUGAUUGUUGACAUAUUAUGAUAAUCGACAUAUGAAUAUGAAUGCUAGUUGCAUAAGAUUAAACAUGUAUGAAAGUGAAUGCUAGAGACAUAUGAAUAAAUACUUAUGAAUGUGAAUCUCAUGCUAGAUGAUAUAUGAUGAUUGUCAUAUGACGAACAUACUAGACGCAUACGAAUGCAUUGUAGUUCAUGCUAAAUGCAUAGGAAUGUCGGUAUAUGAACAUAUGAAUGAUAAAUGAUAUAUGAAUGUUGAUACAUAGACUAAAGUCAUGUAAAUUGAACAUGAAACGGGUAAACUAUAAUCGUAGACGUGGAUAACUAGGAUAAUAAAUAGAUCGAGUGGCAUGAACCUAGUGUUAUUAAACAUAGGUUGGACAUGGAAUGAACCUAGUGUUAUUGAACAUAGGUUGAAUUAGUAAACCUAGAGUCGAAAUCUAGGUGAAAGAACAUGAAACCUAGUGUAAAUGAAUCUAGGUUAUGAGGUGUAGUGACACUUAGUAAAAUUGAACUAAGUUAUGAAUUAUAGUGGUAGUAGGACCACUAGAAAUUGAAUGAUAUAGACCUUGGAAGGUCGUCAGCAUAGGGUAAGUGAUUAAACCCUUAAGUUGUGAAAGUGGGUUCCGGAAUCCAGUGCUGUUGGCAUAAAGUGAAUCAGAACUACGGGAUCGACGGUUCUCCUCUCCCAGUAGUGAUUCAACGGGAUCGAUGGUUCUCCUCUCCCGGUAUGCUAGGAAACAAGUGAAUCAGAACUACGGGAUCGACGGUUCUCCUCUCCCGGUAGUGAUUCAACGGGAUUGACGGUUCUCCUCUCCCGGUAUGAGCUCAACGGGUUUGACGGUUCUCCUCGCCCGUUCAGCUCGAGCGACUUAGGGUCACGGGGAUCGACGGUUCUCCUCUCCCUGUGAUGGACCUAGUGUCGCGUGGACUUAAGGCUGAGGUGCUUGUGAAAUAUCCUUCACCUCGAGCCUGACUUGACGCGGUACUCCUGGGUUGAUUGACUCAAGACCGAGUCGAGUGGCUAGAUGGCUAAGGUAAAAUAACUUUAAGAAAGAAUCGCCAGUGGGCAUAAUAUGAUAAAGAACAGAAAAUAAAGAAUAAAGAGAGUAGCUAAUGAACGUGAAUAGCUAAUAAAGAAAAGAACGGCUACAAGUAAAAAAUGGUUAAUGAUAUAAAGUAGAAUCAAGUAAUCUACUUGCAUGAUUUACAGGUAUUGCAUAUUGCAAUACAGUUGCGAGGCAAGGCAUGGUUUUACUUAUUUGCAUACAUAGUCAAAUAUAUGUCUAUCUGUUUAUUAAACUAACCUGCAGUUGCCUCCUUUGGACCUGGUGGGUCGAGCUCUUCUCUUGGGUGGCCGUACCCACUGGGAACUAUAUUUAUAUAGUUCUCACCCCCGUGUGGUUUUUGGGGGUACAGGUUCGCACGCGAGCGGCGGAGCGGCGCGAGGACAGGGCGUAGCUUCGUAGAUAGCGCCCUACCACCGAGACCAGAGAUAGCAGUACCCUGAAGCAGUCUAGCUCAGAGUUCAGGUUGAAAGAAACAAAUUUGUAGUAAAUUGUAUAAGUUGUAAAUUGGAUAAAGAUUUAUGUAAUAACAUAAAGGCAUUUGUAAUAUUCUAAAUGUAAAAUCUGUGAGAUGAAUGCUUGUAAUAGCAUAGCUAGCAUUUUAUAUUUUUGAUACUUAUACAAUCUAUGUUUGAAUGAUGUUCCUAGUUGGGACCUCUUCUAUUGUAUCAUAUGGAUUGUGACGCCUAGGACGUACAGGGAAAGUUCUGUCCGUUCGGCGGCCUGUCGGCAUGCCCGAAUCUGACCAAAUUGGCGGAGCUCGGGGCGUGACAGAUUAAGUGGUAUCAGAGCAUAAAAAGAGUAAUAGAAACGGUUUAGAUGGACCUAGGAGACCUAGGAUAGUAAACCGUAAGGAUUUAUAGUCGUGAGAGACGAGGACUUGUGACGUGUGGCGAAAGAUAAAUCGAUUGGGUCAAGUUUAGUAAACCUCUAAGACGGAUAUUAGAGGUAGAUUCAAGGUUCAGUUUAUUCUCAGCCAAGUGAGUUCAUGUUGGGUCGACACAACAUGAAACCGAGGGAUGGGAAUAAGCUUCCUUGCAUGACUUUCGCCCGAUUUGAGUCGGUAUUAAUUAUUUCGUAUUUGACCCAGAGGGUCGAGGACUAACUGAAUUGUCGUGUUUCAGGAAGCGAUGGCACCGCGUAGGCGAUCUUCGUUUAGAUCGGCGCAGGAUGGGACAGAUGGUGUCCCUGAGCAGACUGAGGCGAGCGGAGACUUGGAGCUUCGCGAUCAGUUGGCCACACUCGUGGGAGUGGUGAGGCAACAAGUGGAUGUAGUGCAACGUCAGCAGGACGCUGCUCUGCGCCAAGAUGAGUGGAUUAAGAGACUCCAGGAGACGGUGGAUCAGUUAGUGACCGCACUAGUUUCGGCUCGUCGUGUACGGCCGGGAGUCGCGACGGAGGCAUUUCCGUCGGGGUCAGGUAAUCCGAUUGCUGUUAGUUCAGAAAUGAAAGCUGAAAGGGAGCGAGCUUUGGCGGCUCUUAUGACCUUUAAGAAGUUUGAUCCGCCUACUUUUGAUAGAGAAGAUAUAGACCGGUGGACCGUAGAGUUGUGGAUCGACUCCAUGGAGACUUUGUUUGAGGAUUUGUACAUUGUGGAGCGGGACAAGGUACACUUAGCCGUACAUUGUUUGCAACGGUCAGCGAAGGUGUGGUGGAAAGACAUCAAACGGAAUCGAUCGCCUAGUCUUCCUUCUAUGGUUUGGGAAGAGUUUCGGGAAUUAAUGCGUUCAACUUAUUUCCCCGAUAGUGAAAAGAGGAAGCUUCGGGACAGGUUUCAGAAACUACGGCAAGGAGACCGCUCUGUGAGGGAAAACGAAUGGAGUUUUCCCGUAUCGUGAGCUGUGUUCCGAACAUGGUACAAGGUGACAAGGAUCGAGUUGAUUGUUUUGUACGAGGACUUCGGCCUGAUAUUUUCACAGCGGUGCAUAAUCUUAAAUUGCAGCCUUUUGCUGAAGUUUUGGAUCGGGCCCUAUGGAUAGAGCAAGGCAAUGCUUUCGUGUGUGAAGAGCAUGAGUCUAAGAAAUGUAAGCAAGGAGGGAUGAGGCCACUAACAGAUAAUUCAAAUGAACAGUCAAGUUCUGGACACCACUCGACAUCGUCCUCUACCCGAUCAUCUCCAAGAUGUGUGAUUUGUGGUGGUUCCCACUGGGCACGACGUUGCGUGCAGCGGGAAGGAAAGUGCACUCGAUGUGGACAACCGGAUCAUCCAGGUUAUGAGUGUCCGCGAGGCGAUAGCCAAGCCUUGACGCUGGCGACAGCAUUUUCCUCUCCGGGACAGCCUGCGGGUGUGCCACCUGCGGUACGGUCUGGAGGGCGACUGAGGAUAAGGCAACCGAGGGGUUCGCGACGGGCAGCAAGUGGCCGUGGAUAGGCGACCCAUGUGGUGAAACUUGCUGCGACUGGUAGCAAUGUGGCAGGUAUGAGUUAAUUACAGCAAGCAUGUUUUCUGCAUUAUGUAAGUUUCAUGCAUUGUAUGCAUUGAUUAGGUGAUCUGUCCCUACUAUUUAUGCCUUAAUAUAGUAGUGAUCAAGUGAACGGAUAAGUGUUAAUGCCGGGUAUGCUUGUGUGUGGGAAUGUAAUACCUGCUGGAGCAAGUAGAGAGUCUGAGAGCACUAGCAAAUUGCUUGUGAUAGCCUGUGGAUAAGAGGUGAGAUUCGCGAUAGAAAUGGUGAUGACGAAUUAAGUUUCAAAGCAAUGCGAGUUGCUGAUUGCGAGAGUCUAGUCGCAAUGUUCGUGGAACUCUUGUGAGACCGAGCGUUUUGCAGAUUGUUCCAGUAGAUCGAACAGUGAAAGUAGAAUCGCUGUUGAAGAAAUGAUCGGUUAGUGGUCAAGUGCGUGCACAAGGACCCAGUAGUACCUCGGAUUGAGGUAAGUGGGUCGUGCUCGUGUAGUCGGUGUGCAUAGGCAAGAGUUGCCUAAUGCUAGACCUAGUAUGACACGCGAUAGAGUCGUGUAGAGCGCUCGAGUGUAGGUGCUCAUAGAGUGUAGAUUUGAUUCAGCCGUGAGUGAGUUGGCAGUAGCACGUUAGCAUUGCUAAGUGUGAAGCGUGCCAGAGGUCACUCGUAGGGCUGGUGGCUCGCACUAGGUGCGUAGGAGCCGGUAGUGUUGUGUGUCACUCGGUAGCACGCGUCGUGUAAGACGACAAUUGUGGAUAGUGCUUGGUGACGACCCGUGCCUGGACCCUUUGUGGACUGUGGAGCCUAGGCCCAUUGGGCAGGCGUAGUCAGCUGCGAGAGGCAGCGGCCCGGUACCUACGGGUAGGGCAGAGAUUUGGUCAGGACGGUAGUCCGAGCUUGGAUCGGUAACAUGGUAGGUCAUGUAUUGGAUCGUGUUGUUGGUAGUAUGCCGGAAAGCCAGAUUUGACCUAACCCUAGCAAAUUAAAUUGCUCCCAGUUGGAGCAGGUAUGCGAUGUCUCAAAUGAGAACUAUGUCUCGUGAUAAUUGGGUCUACGCUUGCGAGCGAGAGACGUUGAGUUAAGUGAUAGGACUAGCAAAUCACCGAUCCGAUUUGCGAACAGAUCUGUGGUAAUUGAGACAAGUAGUUUACCCAUGUGCAUUGGAAGUAAGUGUUUUGAACAUGUCCAAGUGAAGGAUAAUGUAUAGGGACCGUGAGAGCGAAGGCUCGGUCCUGUGGACUAUUUAGUCAAAAUUGCUAAGAUAAGCAUCGAUGAUGAGCUGAGAUUGGAAACGCGAACAAAGUGUUCGUAGAGAAUGAUUCGGAGAAAUCAGGGUAACAUAGAAUGAAAUUCAGAAGCUACGGAAGAAUGUGAUUUUACAUGUUGAUGAUUGCUGGAACUUAUCUCCAUCCGUUGAGUAAGUGAGGAGCAAUAAGUAUCUAAGUUUCGCGGACGAAACUUUGGCUAACGGGGGGAGAUUGUAAUAUAUGGCAACUUGGAGUUGCGAUGUCAACUUUGAUCUAGGGGAUCAAAGUGAGGAUUGAGCUAGUUGGACAUCAUCCCCGAGUGAUUUGUGAUGCGUGUGAAUGAAUUCUGGAGAUAAAUAAGUGUUUCGGCGCAAAUUGGGCGCGAAACGAAAUGUAAAGAAAAUUUGCGGAUUUCCGACGCUAACUUUGAUUAAAAGAAUUAAAGUGAGCAAAAUAAUAUAAAAAUGGUGUGAGAUAAUAUUUUAUUAGACUUAAGGGUGUAAAAUAUAAGUCUGGAAUGACUCGUGUUGGAAUCGGAGCGAAAACAGAAGAUUUAGAAUUUCUGUAAAGAACGGGAUUGAUAAAUUAGCAGAAAAUGCAUAGUGUCAGAAAAUUAUGAAAACUGGAGGAGAUGUCAGAAAUAUUUUUAUGAGGCUAGAUUUGAAGUUUUAUAUUAUUCUGACACUUGUAGAGAGAGAAAUAGCACCCGAAAGUUAUCUGAUAAAGAUUACAGUUCGGGACCGUUCGCAGUGACCAAACGGGGUCGGAACUGAAAUGUUAAAAUUUCUUUGGACUUAUUAAGUAAAACCGAACAUGUCAAAUUUGAGCGCAAAUAGAUAUUCAGAAGGGCUCCAAUUAAAUGUAUCAGACUAGAAUUGGACUAAGUGAUAAUAAUUGAUGAUUUGUGGACCUAAAGGCAAUUGUUACAUUGCUUACAAGGACUUUUUUUCCAUUCUAGGCUUCCUAGUGACUUCCAUUCUUUAUCUCUCUUUUUUUUUCCUUUGUAUCGCUAUUGAGAGAUUGAAUGUAAUAUUAGCAUAUGAAUUGAAAAAAAAGAAGAAUAAAUUUUAAAUAAAUUUUUGUUGAACUUUUUGUUUGUCUUGUGACACUACGAUUUUUAAUUCUUUUUGCUUGCAUUUUUUUUUUUAUUUAUCUAUUCUAUUUUACAUUUUCGUUAAUAUUAUAUUAUUAUAAUUCAAACAAUUUUUUUUUUUUAUAUUUGAUUUUUUUCUUUUUUUUUUUUUUUCGAGUCAUUUUGAUGAUCUAAGUAUACUAUUACUAUCUAAAAUGAAUUUGUUAGAUUUUAUUUCUUAUUGUUUAUUAUGUUGUAUGUCUUUAUGGGCUUUUGUGUUCGUCUACUUUUUUUUUUUUUUUUUUUUUGUUAUUUUAUUUUUUUUUUUUUUUUUUUUUUUUUUUUUUGUUUUUUCUUUUUGUGAUCGAUUUUUGUUUUUGUUUUUCUUUUUUUCUAUUUUCGAUUGUUUGGUUUUCUAGGUUGUAAUUUCCAGAUGGCAAGUAAUUUAUAUUUUUUCUUUUCUUGCUAUAGAAUUUUUUUUUAUUUGUAUGUAUCAUACCUUAUUUCUUGAUAAUUUUAGAUAUAUGGUUAGAAAUCCGGGUUAUUGAUUAUGUUAAUUUAGGAGUGAUCAUACAGAACUUUUAUUGUUUUCAAUAAUCUUUUUUCUUAUACUCUAAAUUUUGGGUUAUUUCUUUUUUUAUUAUUUUGGAUUUCUUGGUUAAUAUUUUUUUAUAGCUUGCUUUUGUUUAUGUUAUUUAAUUUCUUUAAAACAGGCUAUUCAUUUAUUCUUUAUUCUUUUAUUUAUCAUAUAUUUAUGUUAAUUUUUAUAUAGAGUUUCUAUUCAUUUCUAUGAUUUUUAAUUUAAUUUUAGGUGAUGUAACAUCUCUGAAUACUAAUUGUUUGAGUCAUUUGUUAAUUAUAGCGUCGUAAAACAUAGCUAUAAUCUUGUUAAUUGUUACUGAGGUUGUUUGAAUGACUAAGGCAUAUUUCUGCCAUGAGACCUAGAGAUAUUAGCAUUUAUUUUGAUACUAAACUCCCUGAUAAGCUAACUGUGUACGUUCGUUUUUUGUAACUCUACUCGGAAUUGAUAACACAUGUCUAACCUAAUGGGGAAGCGACCGGUUGAAACUCGAUCGACGUUCCCGACAGUCUACGGCCAAUGCUUCGAGAAAAACGUCCUUUAGCCUAAGUUAUGCGACAAGAUUGUGAUCAUUCAUAAAGAUGCGCAAGUGAAUUUGGCCAUCCAAAUAGUAAGGUGGCUUUUCUACGGAAUGAAAGUACUUCCAUGCACAAGUAAAGUAUAAAUAUUUGACCAUCAGUAAAGUGUAGAAUUGAAAAUAUUAAAGCUUAAAUCGUAUUGAUCAAUACAUGUAUCUACUCAUUCAGAAAUAGAUGUCAAUACUGUGAAAUACCCCGAGAUGCAUGAAAUAUGAACAUAAAUUACCUCCUAGAAUCAUACAAGAAAUAUGGUCGAACUCUAAAUUGAAUUAAGAAUCCGACAUUAACAAAAAUUUGAAGCAUAAUCUAAAUAUGACAACUAGAAAUACAUAAUUAGAGCAUAUAGAUUGUAAAUAUUAAGAUACGACAUAAUACAAUGAAAUGGUAUGCAUAAAUUUAAAAUGUAAAAAUUGAAUGCCUAGAGACAUAUGAAUAAAUACUUAUAAUGAAUUCAUCUAAUGAUUAUGAUGAGUCAUAUACAACAUACUAGACGCAUAAGAAUCAUUAUUCAUCUAAAUGCAAGAAUCGGUAUAAUGAAACACCAUAGAUAAAGAUCAUAGAAUGUUAUACAUAGACUAAAGUCAUGUAAAUGAACAUGACGAUAAACUAUAAAUCAGACGUGAUAACAGGAUAAUAAAAACAAACAAGAAAAUAAAAACACAACCUAGUGUUAUUAAACAUAGUUGGACCGAAAAACUAGUUUAUUGACAUAGUUUGAAUAUAAACCAGAUCAAAAUCUAGGUAAAGAACAUGAAACCUAGUGUAAAUAAAUUAGUUAUAGGUGUAGGAACACAUAGUAAAGAUUAGAACUAAUUAUGAAUAUAGGGUAGUAGACCACUAGAAUUAAAUGAUAAAGCCUUGAGGUCCACAAGGUAUUGAUUAAACCCUAAGGGAAGUGGUCCGGGGAACCAGUGUGUGGCAUAAAAUGAAUCAGAACUACGAUCAGACGGUCCCUCUCACCCAGUAUGAUCAACGGAUCGAUGGUUCCACUCCGUAGCCAAAACAGUGAACUAAACUAACGGAUCGACGUCUCCCCCCUAUGAUUCAACAUGACAAGUCCCCCUCUCCGUAUGACCAACAGUUUGAACUUCUCCUCGCCUUCAGCUCGAUGACUAACACAUACCGUUUGGCUCGGGUAUAAAGGGGGAUAAGGGCAACCCCCCUUUAUCCCAAACAAAAAAAAAAGGUGAACAAGAUUUCCACUAAGUUGACAGGUACAACCUUAUGUCGGGUAACACUUACCCACCACGGGAGUUGAAAAGCGUCCCGAACUUUGUUCCGACCCACUGAUUAGAGAAAAAGAAAAGAAAUUAAAAUAUAAUUUUAUAAUUAUAACUAAUAAAUUACAAUUUUAAAUUUUAAAUUUGAUAUUUUUAAAUUUUAAAUUUUAAAUUUGAUAUUUUUAAGUUUUCAAAUUUUAAAUUUUAUUAAAGUUUAAAUUUUAAAUUUGUUAUUUUAUAUCUUUGAAAUUUAAAUUUGGUCUGAAAUUUAAAAUUUGAUAUUUAAAAUUAAUAUUUUUAAUAUUAAAAUUUAAAAUUUUAAUUUCUAAUUUAAAUUUAAAAGUUAAAAUUUAAAAUUUAAAAUUAUAAGUUUAAAAUUCAAUUAUAGGGAUAAUAUUAUUAUUUUCUAUUUAUAACUACCAACUAUUCCUCUUAUUCCCAAAAACCAUCCAAAUACAAUUUUUCUAGUUCCAGCUUAUACUCACAAUUUCAUCCAAACAAAAAAAUACCCUUAUUCCUACAAAAACUCAUACUUGUACCUAUCCCCGGUAUAACUAGUUCCUACUAAUUCCCGAUCCAAACGGAGCCUUAGGGUCACGGGGAUCGACGGUUCUCCUCUCCCUGUGAUGGACCUAGUGUCGCGUGGACUUAAGGCUGAGGUGCUUGUGAAAUGUCCUUCACCUCGAGCCUGACUUGACGCGGUACUCAACGGUUGAUUGACUCAAGACCGAGUCGAGUGGCUAGAUGGCUAAGGUAAAAUAACCUUAAAAAAGAAUCGCCAGUGGGCAUAAUAUGAUAAAGAACAGAAAAUAAAGAAUAAGAGAGUAGCUAAUGAACGUGAAUAGCUAAUAAAGAAAAGAACGGCUACAAGUAAAGAAUGGUUAAUGAUAUAAAGUAGAAUCAAGUAAUCUACUUGCAUGAUUUACAGGUAUUGCAUAUUGCAUAGCAUCGAUACAGUUGCGAGGCAAGGCAUGGUUUUACUUAUUUGCAUACAUAGUCAAAUAUAUGUCUAUCUGUUUAUUAAACUAACCUGCAGUUGCCUCCUUUGGACCUGGUGGGUCGAGCUCUUCUCUUGGGUGGCCGUACCCACUGGGAACUAUAUUUAUAUAGUUCUCACCCCCGUGUGGUUUUUGGUGGUACAGGUUCGCACGCGAGCGGCGCGG